rnacentral:rRNA from 1 species
UACGGGGGGUGCGAGCGUUAAUCGGAAUUACUGGGCGUAAAGGGCUCGUAGGCGGCCAACUAAGUCAGACGUGAAAUCCCUCGGCUUAACCGGGGAACUGCGUCUGAUACUGGAUGGCUUGAAUCCGGGAGAGGGAUGCGGAAUUCCAGGUGUAGCGGUGAAAUGCGUAGAUAUCUGGAGGAACACCGGUGGCGAAGGCGGCAUCCUGGACCGGUAUUGACGCUGAGGAGCGAAAGCCAGGGGAAGCAAAGCGGG